rnacentral:rRNA from 1 species
UGGGGAAUUUUGCACAAUGGGGGAAACCCUGAUGCAGCGACGCCGCGUGAUUUAGAAGGCCUUCGGGUUGUAAAAAUCUUUUCUAUGGGAAGAAAAUGACAGUACCAUAGGAAUAAGGACCGGCUACUUACGUGCCAGCAGCCGCGGUAAUACGUAAGGUCCGAGCGUUGUCCGGAAUCAUUGGGCGUAAAGGGUACAUAGGCGGGUAAGCAAGUUAGAAGUGAAAUCCUAUAGCUCAACUAUAGUAAGCUUUUAAAACUGCUCAUCUUGGGGGAUGGAAGGGAAAGUGGAAUUCCUAGUGUAGCGGUGAAAUGCGCGGAUAUUAGGAGGAAUGCCGGUGGCGAAGGCGACUUUCUGGCGAUAACCUGACGCUGAGGUACGAAAGCGUGGGUAGCAAACAGG